rnacentral:rRNA from 1 species
GCCUAGUUCCUUAUUAUAAAUUCACAAGGUAAAAAUUAUAUACAAGUAAAUAUACUAAUUCUAUCAUUAUUACAAAAAUUUUAAAAUUAAAUAAAUAAUCUUAAUAAAAAACCUAAAAUAAUUAUAAAAUCAAAAUAGAAAAUAAUGAACUAAAACGUAAUCUUAAAGAUAGCUGGUUUAAAGCUUACUAUUAUAUUUUAUAAAACAAAUUAUAGGUUAUUAACUUCAAAGCUUAUCCCUUAAAGAAUAAAUAAGUUAAUAUUUAUAAUUAAAAAAUUAAAUAAAAACAAUUAACUUUAAAAAAUUAAAAUUUUUCUUAAGAAACUAGAUAUCUUGGGAAACGAUUAACAUUUCAUUUCCAUAAAUAAUUUAAUAAUAAUUAUGAUACAUUAACUAUAAAUUAUUUAUAAAUCAACCCAAAUCGAGACAAGUAAAUUAAAUACUAAAAUUUUGAUAAACCCUGAUACAAAAGGUACAAUAAAUAAAAUAUACUUUUAAAAAUUUAAAAUAAUAUUUCAUAAAACARUUACAUUACCAAUAAACUAUAAUUUAAAAAAUCAAUUCUACAAAWUAUACUAAGACAAAAUUCAAUAAAAUUAUUUUUAUUA